rnacentral:tRNA from 1 species
AGGUAGUUAGUCCAACCAAGACCUCUGAUUUCGGCUCAGAAAAUUUCGGUUAGACUCCGGAACUUCCUU